CCACCCUAAUCGUCGAAUCCUUCCUCACCUUAUCUCGUCGCCGCCCCGAUUCUUCCUCCUCUCUCACGCCGUUUACUCUCUGCUCUUCUUCUUCUCCUCAUCUUCUCCAACCGGCGCCCCUUUCUCUUCUUCCGCGUCAUCUUCCCUCCUCUGCCGUCGUCUCCUCGUCGCGGAGGUCCUCACCACGCCGAUUGUCACGAGAGCACCGCCGGCAGCAGUCCUUCUCUCCGCGAGCCUCACCAACACCAAGCUCUCUGGGCUAUCAGGCGGCCCGAUCCUCUUCUACUUUUCCCCUUGAGUCUCUGCCCUAGAUGCAGCCGACGUCAUCGCAUCCGACCACAGUACCUGCAAUUUUGGGCGGCUAGCGUCGCCGCCAUCUCUUUCACCGGCUGCCACUUCUUCCUCUUCCAUCUGCCACCGUCGGAGAGCUGAGUACACAGGAGAGUAGGGUUGUUCUUCCGCGUAUCAGCAGUUGCGAGGGGUUACCACGCGUUGCCCCCUUCAAUUGUGCCGUGGCCAUCCGGUCAGCCACAAGGAGAUCCAUUGCUGCGGUGACCCCAUUUGUGCUUGGAUUUGUGCCACUGUCGUGUAUCGGUGAAUUCUGAGGCGGUGAGGGUUGUUGGACAGAUUUACCAUCGUCGGAAGAGCCACAAACUGCUGAUAAGGGUGACAUUUUGUAUCUGGUAUGACGACCCUUAUUUCCAAAUAGGAGGUUCUGGUUGAUGCCGUUAGGAGGUUUCAGUUGCUAGUCCCCUCGUCACAAGGAUUUUCGCUUUGGUCUUUCGAUUUCUGUUUAUUUGUUUAGUGUCAUGUUAUAGACUCGUAUUGGUUUGUUCAUUAGAUUUGAGUGAUUUGUUUUUAAGCAUUGUACUGGUUGGGUUUUUGGUUGCUUGGUGAAUUUGUAUUUGGUGUGUUUUGCUUCGUGCCUGCCGGACGGCAGAAGAGGUAAGUUGUGAUUGUUUUCGAUUCCUUUUCGUAUUGUGUUGAUAGCCGGAGGCUGUUUUUAUUAUAAUUGCGUGGAAUGUUUCAUUUUUGUAUAGUAUAUAUUCCAGCCGUGUUGGCUGAUGAGUGUGAGCCCUGAGGGCAAUGUAGAAACGUUUCAGAUUGUCACCCGUAAAGGGGAGAUGUUGUCGAAAUUUCUUCUGGCAGGGACUACCUGGGGCGUGACAAUCUCGGUGAAGUUCUUGACACGCUUGGUUGAAAAGAUGGAUGUUGGGGUCCAUG